UACGUAGGGUGCAAGCGUUGUCCGGAAUUAUUGGGCGUAAAGAGCUCGUAGGCGGUCUGUCGCGUCUGGUGUGAAAUCCCAUGGCUCAACUGUGGGCUUGCAUCGGGUACGGGCAGACUAGAGUGCUGUAGGGGAGACUGGAAUUCCUGGUGUAGCGGUGGAAUGCGCAGAUAUCAGGAGGAACACCCGUGGCGAAAGCGGCUCUCUGGGACGGUACUGACGCUGAGACGCGAAAGCGUGGGGAGCAAACAGG
rnacentral:rRNA from 1 species